GGACAUAUUUUGAUGAUGACAAUAGGGGGUUAUGAUAUUGAGCUCAAAUCUAAUUGGGAUUCAUUAAGUGUUUAUGAGUUGGUAAGAGAUAUUUAUGGUUUCAUGUUAAUGUUUAUUAACAUGCAUGAAACCAAAAGCCUUGGGUUUAUUCAUGUUAACAUUAGAAGCCUCCUCCCUAAGUUUGUUUUAUUCACUGCUUUAGCACACUCUGCCAACCCGGAUGUCCUAGCCGUGUCCGAAUCCUGGUUUAGCAAGGCCACCAAAAAUCCUGAAAUGUCCAUCCCUAACUAUAACAUUUUCCGACAAGAUAGAACUGCCAAAGGGGGCGGAGUUGCAAUCUACUGCAGAGAAUGGAAUUCUGUCAUACUAUCCAGGUCUGAGCUUCUACUUUUAAAAAUCCACCUUUCCAAAAACAAGUCUCUCACUGUUACCACUUGUUAUAGACCCCCUUCAGCCCCCGGCUGUGCCCUUGACACCAUAUGUGAAUUGAUCGCCCCCCAUCUAUCUUCAGAGUUCGUACUGUUAGGUGACCUAAACUGGGACAUGCUUAACACCCCGGCCGUCCUACAAUCUAAGCUAGAUGCCCUCAAUCUCACACAAAUUAUCAAGGAACCUACCAGGUACAACCCUAAAUCCGUAACCAUGGGCACCCUCUUAGAUAUCAUCCUGACCAACUUGCCCUCUAAAUACACCUAUGCUGUCUUCAACCAGGAUCUCAGCGAUCACUGCCUCAUUGCCUGUGUGCGUAAUGGGUCCGUGGUCAAACGACCACCCCUCAUCAUUGUCAAACGCUCCCUAAAACACUUCAGCGAGCAGGCCUUUCUAAUUGACCUGGCCCGGGUAUCCUGGAAGGAUAUUGACCUCAUCCCGUCAGUAGAGGAUACCUGGUUGCUCUUCAAAAGUGCUUUCCUCACCAUCUUAAAUAAGCAUGCCCCAUUCCAAAAAUGUAGAACUAAGAACAGAUAUAGCCCUUGGUUCACCCUAGGCUUGACUGCCCUUGACCAGCACAAAAACAUCCUGUGGUGUUCUGCAUUAGCAUCGAAUAGCCCCCGCGAUAUGCAACUUUUCAGGGAAGUCAGGAACCAAUAUACUAAGGCUAGCUCUUUCAAACAGAAUUUUGCAUCCUGUAGCACUAAUUCCAAAAAGUUUUGUGACACUGUAAAGUCCAUGGAGAAUAAGAGCACCUCCUCCCAGCUGCCCACUGCACUGAGGAUAGGAAACACUGUCACCAGCAAUAAAUCUGCAAUAAUCUAUCAUUUCCACAAGCAUUUUUCUACGGCUGGCCAUGCUUUCCACCUGGCUAUCCCUCCUGAGAUGUGUGCAAACCUGGUGGCCAACUACAAGAAACGUCUGACCUCUGUGAUUGCCAACAAGGGUUUUGCCACCAAGUACUAAGUAAUGUUUUGCAGCAGGGUCAAAUACUUAUUUCCCUCAUUAAAAUGCAAAUCAAUUUAUAACAUUUUUGAAAUGCGUUUUUCUGGAUUUUUUGUUGUUGUUAUUCUGUCUCUCACUGUUCAAAUAAACCUACCAUUAAAAUUAUAGACUGAUCAUUUCUUUGUCAGUGGGCAAACGUACAAAAUCAGCAGGGGAUCAAAUACUUUUUUCCCUCACUGUAUUUAUUGCCUUACCUCCCUACUCUUCUAUAUUUGCACACACUGUACAUAGAUCUUUCUAUUUUGUUAUUGACUGUACAUUUGUUUAUGUGUAACUCUGUGUUGUUGUUUUUGUCGCACUGCUUUGCUUUAUCUUGGCCAGGUCGCAGUUGUAAAUGAGAACUUGUUCUCAACUGGCCUACCUGGUUAAAUAAAGGUGAAAUACAUUUUUUAAAUAAAAACUAUUUACAGUAUUCAAUUUGGCAUAAUUUUGAUAGAACCACACAGAAAAAUUCCCUGUUUUAUAAUAUGUAACUACUCUGAAUAAUCUUAAGAGGUCCAGUGCAAACUUCUAGCCGUUGAGAUAAUUGAGCUAUGAAAUGCAAUAAAGAACAUUUUAUUUGCUUGAAAUAUCUGAGGAAUCCCUUAGGAGUAGAGA
rnacentral:lncRNA from 8 species